CCUACGGGCGGCAGCAGUGGGGGAUAUUGCACAAUGGGGGGAACCCUGAUGCAGCGACGCCGCGUGGGGGAAGAAGGGCCUCGGCGCGUAAAGCCCUGUCAGCAGGGAAGAAAAUGACGGUACCUGAAGAAGAAGCCCCGGCUAACGACGUGCCAGCAGCCGCGGUAAUACGUAGGGGGCAAGCGGUAUCCGGAUGUACGGGGGGUAAAGGGGGCGGAGACGGGGAGGCAAGCCAGGAGUGAAAGCCCGGGGCCCAACCCCGGGAGUGCUCUUGGCACUGCGUGGCUGGAGUGCAGGAGGGGUAGGCGGAAUUCCUGGUGUAGCGGUGAAAUGCGUAGAUAUCAGGCGGAACACCGGUGGCGAAGGCGGCCUGCUGGGCUGCAACUGACGUUGAGGCACGAAAGCGUGGGGAGCAAACAGGAUUAGAUACCCCGGUAGUC
rnacentral:rRNA from 1 species